GGGUUGUGAGGUUAAGCGACUAAGCGUACACGGUGGAUGCCCUGGCAGUCAGAGGCGAUGAAGGACGUGCUAAUCUGCGAUAAGCGUCGGUAAGGUGAUAUGAACCGUUAUAACCGGCGAUUUCCGAAUGGGGAAACCCAGUGUGAUUCGUCACACUAUCAUUAACUGAAUCCAUAGGUUAAUGAGGCGAACCGGGGGAACUGAAACAUCUAAGUACCCCGAGGAAAAGAAAUCAACCGAGAUUCCCCCAGUAGCGGCGAGCGAACGGGGAGCAGCCCAGAGCCUGAAUCAGUGUGUGUGUUAGUGGAAGCGUCUGGAAAGGCGUGCGAUACAGGGUGACAGCCCCGUACACAAAAAUGCACAUGCUGUGAGCUCGAUGAGUAGGGCGGGACACGUGGUAUCCUGUCUGAAUAUGGGGGGACCAUCCUCCAAGGCUAAAUACUCCUGACUGACCGAUAGUGAACCAGUACCGUGAGGGAAAGGCGAAAAGAACCCCGGCGAGGGGAGUGAAAAAGAACCUGAAACCGUGUACGUACAAGCAGUGGGAGCACGCUUAGGCGUGUGACUGCGUACCUUUUGUAUAAUGGGUCAGCGACUUAUAUUCUGUAGCAAGGUUAACCGAAUAGGGGAGCCGAAGGGAAACCGAGUCUUAACUGGGCGUUAAGUUGCAGGGUAUAGACCCGAAACCCGGUGAUCUAGCCAUGGGCAGGUUGAAGGUUGGGUAACACUAACUGGAGGACCGAACCGACUAAUGUUGAAAAAUUAGCGGAUGACUUGUGGCUGGGGGUGAAAGGCCAAUCAAACCGGGAGAUAGCUGGUUCUCCCCGAAAGCUAUUUAGGUAGCGCCUCGUGAAUUCAUCUCCGGGGGUAGAGCACUGUUUCGGCAAGGGGGUCAUCCCGACUUACCAACCCGAUGCAAACUGCGAAUACCGGAGAAUGUUAUCACGGGAGACACACGGCGGGUGCUAACGUCCGUCGUGAAGAGGGAAACAACCCAGACCGCCAGCUAAGGUCCCAAAGUCAUGGUUAAGUGGGAAACGAUGUGGGAAGGCCCAGACAGCCAGGAUGUUGGCUUAGAAGCAGCCAUCAUUUAAAGAAAGCGUAAUAGCUCACUGGUCGAGUCGGCCUGCGCGGAAGAUGUAACGGGGCUAAACCAUGCACCGAAGCUGCGGCAGCGACACUAUGUGUUGUUGGGUAGGGGAGCGUUCUGUAAGCCUGCGAAGGUGUGCUGUGAGGCAUGCUGGAGGUAUCAGAAGUGCGAAUGCUGACAUAAGUAACGAUAAAGCGGGUGAAAAGCCCGCUCGCCGGAAGACCAAGGGUUCCUGUCCAACGUUAAUCGGGGCAGGGUGAGUCGACCCCUAAGGCGAGGCCGAAAGGCGUAGUCGAUGGGAAACAGGUUAAUAUUCCUGUACUUGGUGUUACUGCGAAGGGGGGACGGAGAAGGCUAUGUUGGCCGGGCGACGGUUGUCCCGGUUUAAGCGUGUAGGCUGGUUUUCCAGGCAAAUCCGGAAAAUCAAGGCUGAGGCGUGAUGACGAGGCACUACGGUGCUGAAGCAACAAAUGCCCUGCUUCCAGGAAAAGCCUCUAAGCAUCAGGUAACAUCAAAUCGUACCCCAAACCGACACAGGUGGUCAGGUAGAGAAUACCAAGGCGCUUGAGAGAACUCGGGUGAAGGAACUAGGCAAAAUGGUGCCGUAACUUCGGGAGAAGGCACGCUGAUAUGUAGGUGAAGCGACUUGCUCGUGGAGCUGAAAUCAGUCGAAGAUACCAGCUGGCUGCAACUGUUUAUUAAAAACACAGCACUGUGCAAACACGAAAGUGGACGUAUACGGUGUGACGCCUGCCCGGUGCCGGAAGGUUAAUUGAUGGGGUCAGCGCAAGCGAAGCUCUUGAUCGAAGCCCCGGUAAACGGCGGCCGUAACUAUAACGGUCCUAAGGUAGCGAAAUUCCUUGUCGGGUAAGUUCCGACCUGCACGAAUGGCGUAAUGAUGGCCAGGCUGUCUCCACCCGAGACUCAGUGAAAUUGAACUCGCUGUGAAGAUGCAGUGUACCCGCGGCAAGACGGAAAGACCCCGUGAACCUUUACUAUAGCUUGACACUGAACAUUGAGCCUUGAUGUGUAGGAUAGGUGGGAGGCUUUGAAGUGUGGACGCCAGUCUGCAUGGAGCCGACCUUGAAAUACCACCCUUUAAUGUUUGAUGUUCUAACGUUGACCCGUGAUCCGGGUUGCGGACAGUGUCUGGUGGGUAGUUUGACUGGGGCGGUCUCCUCCUAAAGAGUAACGGAGGAGCACGAAGGUUGGCUAAUCCUGGUCGGACAUCAGGAGGUUAGUGCAAUGGCAUAAGCCAGCUUGACUGCGAGCGUGACGGCGCGAGCAGGUGCGAAAGCAGGUCAUAGUGAUCCGGUGGUUCUGAAUGGAAGGGCCAUCGCUCAACGGAUAAAAGGUACUCCGGGGAUAACAGGCUGAUACCGCCCAAGAGUUCAUAUCGACGGCGGUGUUUGGCACCUCGAUGUCGGCUCAUCACAUCCUGGGGCUGAAGUAGGUCCCAAGGGUAUGGCUGUUCGCCAUUUAAAGUGGUACGCGAGCUGGGUUUAGAACGUCGUGAGACAGUUCGGUCCCUAUCUGCCGUGGGCGCUGGAGAACUGAGGGGGGCUGCUCCUAGUACGAGAGGACCGGAGUGGACGCAUCACUGGUGUUCGGGUUGUCAUGCCAAUGGCACUGCCCGGUAGCUAAAUGCGGAAGAGAUAAGUGCUGAAAGCAUCUAAGCACGAAACUUGCCCCGAGAUGAGUUCUCCCUGACUCCUUGAGAGUCCUGAAGGAACGUUGAAGACGACGACGUUGAUAGGCCGGGUGUGUAAGCGCAGCGAUGCGUUGAGCUAACCGGUACUAAUGAACCGUGAGGCUUAACCUUACAACGCCGAAG
rnacentral:rRNA from 1 species